ensembl:rRNA 5S_rRNA 5S ribosomal RNA
GUUUACGGCCAUACCAGCCUGGGUACGCCCGAUCUCGUCUGAUCUCGGAAGCUAAGCAGGGUCGGGCCUGGUUAGUACUUGGAUGGGAGACCGCCUGUGAAUUCCAGGUGCUGUAAGCC